UUGGUUUUUGGACUACCGUUGUGAAGCCUCGAGUUUGGCAUUUUGGCCAUCGCAAUCUUGUUUUUAAGAGCCAGAAGUGGCCAUAUUUGGAUAAGAGGGUGGAGCUGGGGAGGAGCGCUAAACUAAA